rnacentral:rRNA from 1 species
GACGAACGCUGGCGGCGUGCCUAAUACAUGCAAGUAGAACGCUGAAGGAGGAGCUUGCUCUUCUGGAUGAGUUGCGAACGGGUGAGUAACGCGUAGGUAACCUGCCUGGUAGCGGGGGAUAACUAUUGGAAACGAUAGCUAAUACCGCAUAACAGUAGAUGUUGCAUGACAUUUGCUUAAAAGGUGCAAUUGCAUCACUACCAGAUGGACCUGCGUUGUAUUAGCUAGUUGGUGGGGUAACGGCUCACCAAGGCGACGAUACAUAGCCGACCUGAGAGGGGGAUCGGCCACACUGGGACGGAGACACGGCCCAGACUCCUACAGGAGGCAGCAGUAGGGAAUCUUCGGCAAUGGACGGAAGUCUGACCGAGCAACGCCGCGUGAGUGAAGAAGGUUUUCGGAUCGUAAAGCUCUGUUGUAAGAGAAGAACGAGUGUGAGAGUGGAAAGUUCACACUGUGACGGUAUCUUACCAGAAAGGGACGGCUAACUACGUG